rnacentral:rRNA from 1 species
CUACGGAGGGUGCAAGCGUUAAUCGGAAUUACUGGGCGUAAAGGGUUCGUAGGCGGUUAUUUAAGUCAGAUGUGAAAGCCCCGGGCUCAACCUGGGAAUUGCAUCUGAUACUGGGUAACUAGAGUUUAAGAGAGGAGUGUGGAAUUUCCGGUGUAGCGGUGAAAUGCAUAGAGAUCGGAAGGAACAUCAGUGGCGAAGGCGGCACUCUGGCUUAAAACUGACGCUGAGGAACGAAAGCGUGGGUAGCAAACAGGAUUAGAUACCCUAGUAGUCC